UACGUAGGGUGCGAGCGUUGUCCGGAAUUAUUGGGCGUAAAGAGCUCGUAGGCGGUCUGUCGCGUCGGUCGUGAAAACUUGGGCUUAACCCUGAGCUUGCGGUCGAUACGGCAUGACUGGAGUUCGGUAGGGAGACGUGGAAUUCGAUCGUGGUAGCUGGUGAAAAUGCGCAGAUAUCAGGAGGAACACCGAUUGCGAAGGCGCUCGCUGGGACGUAACUGACGCUGAGACGCGAAAGCGUGGGGGAGCAAACAGG
rnacentral:rRNA from 1 species